UCAUAAUACCAAACACUCAUGAUUCUUUAUAAGGAUGAAAGUAAGUUCACAUUUGUGUGGUUUGAUGAAUCUAAACCCUAGCUUUAUCCACGGCAGAGAGUUUAUAUGGUGAUAAUGGUGAAAAGGAUUCAUUUUCUUGGAGUAUCUCCAUUAGAUAGUGGUCUUACCAAAAAUUCAAUUGUUGCACUUAUUAGAAAGAUGGAGUAGGUGGUGAAGAGGGCA